rnacentral:lncRNA from 1 species
CCGGCAAGUGACUUCCCAGGAGGCGUCGAGGCAGGAAUAUUCCCCGAAGCCCCGCUAGCCCUUCAAGGCUGGUAGCUUGCCGGGCUGCUUGUAGUUGCCGCCCGGGAUGACGAGGCCCACGCGUCGUGCAACGGUGGUACCCCGGUUGCCACUGGUGCGACAAAUAUGGUUGGCAGGCCCCUGUCGCGCUGCGCUAUAUAAAGAGGUGGGUGGCCGGGGCACGCACUACGAGGUUGACCGCGUUGCCACCACUCCACCAAAAUACCCCUACCGAUCUAGGGUUGCGUAGAGAGCAACGGGAAGCUCCGUCCACGCCGUCGCCCCCGCCGCCGCUCCCUCUCCGUCAUGUCGUCUACGCCGGCAUCUUCGAGCAGCCAAGGGGAAGGUACCCAUCUCCGUCUCUCUCUCUCUCAAUCCCGAACCAAGAACAUUCACAGUAGAGCUAUCCCUAUCCCGUCUAGAUCUACUCCUAGUGUAAUCUAGGAAACCUAACAAUGGUAUCAGAGCUUGUUAAGAGUUGUAGAUCGGGAUAGAAAAAAAAAGGAAAGAAGAAAGAAAAAGCAAAAAGAAAAAGAAAAGAAACCCUAGCUGCCGGAGACUUACCCGAGGAUGGCCGCCGGUCACCUCCAUGGGUCGCCGGGAAAGGGCGGCCGCCACUGAUCCCUUGACGGCGACGCGCGCACCCUCGGGUGCACGCGCACGCCGGCAAGAGGCCAGUGAGGCCGUCGUGGAAGCCAGGGCGGUGCCGCCGUCAAGGUCAAAGAAAGAGGCAUGGGGGAGAGGAGGGACCGGGCCCGUUGUCACCGACGGGGCCGCGGCUCGUCGGCCACUCGCCGGUCGCAGCCCUCCAUUCGCUGCCGUUGCCACCCUCCUGGUAUCUCACGCCGGGGGAGUGGAAAAGAAAAUAUGAAGAUAAAAGAGAGGGCGGCAGGAUGGGGCUCAGCCUCGCCGUCGCUGGGCGGGCGGUCGCCAUGCUCGAGCGCCGCCGCUGCCAGAGAAGAGACGGACAAAGGAGGAAAAAUUUAGGGUUUUCUUGGUUAGGGUUUCGGUCGGAGUUCUUUUAACUGAACCGAAAGUUACGCGUGGCCGUCCGAUGCAAAUCAACGGUCC